AUGAAUGGACUUGAAGAAUUAACUAAUGCAGAUGUUAGUGUUUCAUUGAAUGAAGUUUCUAGAAAUCAAGCUUAUCCUCAAGAAGAUGCUACAUCACUAUACCAAACAUUGCAUGAUGUGCAAACAACAAAGCAUACAUGCAGCAGGCUAGACACAUGCUUACAUGCACCAAGAAAAAGAGUCAUACUCAGAAACAAUUUCAUCAUUUAUAAACAGAUGCAACCUAGGUUUUAA